AUUGAACGCCGGCGGCAGGCCUAACACAUGCAAGUCGAGCGGAUGAAGGGAGCUUGCUCCUGGAUUCAGCGGCGGACGGGUGAGUAAUGCCUAGGAAUCUGCCUGGUAGUGGGGGAUAACGUCCGGAAACGGGCGCUAAUACCGCAUACGUCCUGAGGGAGAAAGUGGGGGAUCUUCGGACCUCACGCUAUCAGAUGAGCCUAGGUCGGAUUAGCUAGUUGGUGGGGUAAAGGCCUACCAAGGCGACGAUCCGUAACUGGCCUGAGAGGAUGAUCAGUCACACUGGAACUGAGACACGGUCCAGACUCCUACGGGAGGCAGCAGUGGGGAAUAUUGGACAAUGGGCGAAAGCCUGAUCCAGCCAUGCCGCGUGUGUGAAGAAGGUCUUCGGAUUGUAAAGCACUUUAAGUUGGGAGGAAGGGCAGUAAGUUAAUACCUUGCUGUUUUGACGUUACCAACAGAAUAAGCACCGGCUAACUUCGUG
rnacentral:rRNA from 1 species